UUGAUACAGGCAUACAAUGUGCAAUAAUCAAAUCAGGGUAAUUGGGAUAUAAAUUGAUUCUUCAAAAUUCUAAGUAGUGUUCAAGGUAACACCACUAGUAAGUAACUUUCAGAAUGGGGACUUGAAGCAAGGUCCAUGUGAUCACAAAGCCUGGGCUCAUGCUGUCCCCUUGGUCCAUAACCAUAGACUACAGUGAAAUGCCUUCUCAUACCUUGAAAAUAAGGGAAAAUGUCUUUUCCUCUGAUUCAACAAACAAUAAGAACGGAAGCAUGAAAGAGCUCUUCAAAGAAGAGAGUGAUUUUCAGACCUCAGGCUUCCCAAGCCCUGAGAAAGGUUUUGUGUUUUUAAAAUCAUGUGUUCAUCAGCAGAGACUUACCAGCUUUCGAAACUGAAAGAAGAACAUCCCAGAGGAAAUAUGCAUGGAAGCACCGUGAAGCACAGAGGGAAUCAAAGCCAAAUGACUAAAGGAGAGAAGGAAAGAAAGAAAAAAGGAGUGAAGAAGAGGAAGACAGAAAGAAAAAGAGGGAGAGAGAACGGGAAUGCUGCUUUAUUCUAAAAAUGGAUCUGAGACAGAUCGACGAGACAGAAGAUUGAUGAGAAUGUCCAGGACUUGAACUCAGAUCCGGAGCAAAUAUUUGUAAAUUUAAACAACGAAUAAAAUAAAUAAACAUCAAAGUAACUCUAAGACAACACUUUUUAUCUUAACCAUAGAUGAUUUUAAAAAUAUACUGUUUUUAUAAGUUAUCCUCUAAUAUCAGGGCAAUCAUGAGGCUAAAAUCUAAUACUAUUAUAAGAAAUAGAAGUGUUUUCCUAAUUUGAAUCUGCUAUAAGUCAUCUCUGUUACCAUCAACUAAGAUGUAAGAUGAGGGCUAACUAGGUGAUCCCUAAAAUUA